AGCUUUUAUGUAGUCAAGAAUUUUAGUAACAGAAUGUACAAGGGGAGAAGUGAAUCAAGUGCUUAGUAAAUUUUUCUGAUUGCUUCUUAUCACAGAGCAUUAUUUAAUAUUGCCCUACUUUCCUGCCCUUCUGCUCAAGAGAGUAAACAAUUGAUGAGGAUCUGUGCAUUGUGUUAGGUCUGAUCAUAGUUUGACUAGCACAGUCUGGAAGUGGGCUGUGCAGGAUGAGAGAAGCAGCCUAAUUGCUCUUCCUGCAUCAGCAGCAUCUAUAAAGCAUCCUGGGAAUUGCUCGCCCAGCGCUCUCUCGGAGCAGCUGGUCACAUGAGCCUGAAUUUUCAGUUCAGUUCAUUAGUCAGCCAUUUUGGUCAACACCCUGCUUACUGCGCACAGCCAAUCCUGUUAGAACUCAGCAUCCCGGCUCGUCUGAGCAGGUCCUGUAGUGAUUUCUGCUGCUCAAAUUUUUUUCAGAUAAAUUUAAAAUAUAGGUUGAUUUUUUUUGUAUUUUUUCUUUUGUAUUUUUUUCUGCACAAAGAAGGAGGAUUUUUUUAUUUAUCCAUGCUAAGACCAAUUUUUGAAAACCAGCUUUGUAAGACAGCAUUGGGUGUGUAGGAUUUUAGCCUAUAGAUAGCCUGGCUGGAAUAAAGGGAAAGGAAGAUAAAGGAGAGGACGCUGGGAGAAGACGGACACCAUCUAAUUUUGCUAACUGUUAGGAAUUGUCAGUAAGAAAAGAUAGUAUAGAAUUGUUUAUUUUGAGCAAUUUGCACUACAAGACAUUUUUAUUUUCUCUUUCUUUUUUUCCCCAACGUCUCCUAUUCCAUUUUCUGAAAGCUUUGUUUAAGAGCUUGGGAUUUGGUAAUUUUUUUUUUUUUGGUUCCAAGGUCUUAUUUGUUUGUGUGUGUGUGUGUGUGUGUGUGUGUGUGUGUGUGUGUGUGUGUGUGUUGUGGUCCCAGCUGAGUCAUCAUGUCGGCCCUGACGCCUCCGACUGACAUGCCAACCCCCACCACUGACAAGAUCACACAGGCUGCCAUGGAGACCAUCUACCUUUGCAAAUUCCGAGUGUCAAUGGACGGAGAAUGGCUCUGCCUGCGAGAGCUGGAUGACAUCUCCCUUACACCUGACCCGGAGCCUACCCACGAAGACUCUUGGGAGGAUUUGACUGAUUUGGUGGAACAAGUGCGUGAUGAUACAGAAGAUCCUAAUUAUCUCAUGGCUAACGAACGCAUGAAUCUGAUGAACAUGGCAAAGCUGAGUAUCAAAGGCCUGAUUGAAUCUGCUCUGAACCUGGGGCGAACCCUGGACUCGGACUAUGCCCCCCUCCAGCAGUUCUUCGUGGUGAUGGAGCACUGCCUGAAGCACGGCUUGAAAGCCAAGAAAACUUUUCUUGGACAAAAUAAAUCCUUCUGGGGGCCUCUAGAGCUAGUAGAAAAGCUUGUUCCAGAAGCUGCAGAGAUAACAGCAAGUGUUAAAGAUCUCCCAGGACUUAAGACACCAGUUGGCAGAGGAAGAGCCUGGCUUCGUUUGGCAUUAAUGCAGAAGAAGCUUUCUGAGUAUAUGAAAGCCUUGAUCAAUAAGAAGGAACUCCUCAGUGAGUUCUACGAAGCCAAUGCCCUCAUGAUGGAAGAGGAAGGAGCUAUUAUUGCUGGUCUCCUGGUGGGCCUGAAUGUCAUCGAUGCCAAUUUCUGCAUGAAAGGAGAGGACCUGGACUCUCAGGUUGGAGUUAUAGAUUUUUCGAUGUAUCUCAAAGAUGGAAACAGCAGUAAAGGUAGUGAGGGGGAUGGUCAGAUUACCGCAAUUCUAGACCAGAAGAACUACGUGGAAGAACUCAACAGACAUCUGAAUGCUACUGUAAACAACCUUCAGGCAAAAGUAGAUGCAUUAGAAAAAUCCAACACUAAAUUAACAGAGGAGCUUGCCGUUGCCAACAACAGAAUUAUUACCUUACAAGAAGAAAUGGAACGAGUUAAAGAAGAAAGCUCCUAUCUACUGGAAUCCAGUCGGAAGGGCCCUAAACAAGACAGAACUGCAGAAGGGCAAGCACUGAGUGAAGCAAGAAGGCACUUAAAGGAGGAGACACAAUUACGAUUGGACGUGGAGAAGGAACUGGAGCUGCAGAUCAGCAUGAGGCAGGAGAUGGAGCUGGCAAUGAAGAUGCUGGAGAAAGAUGUCUGUGAGAAGCAGGAUGCCCUGGUGUCUCUGCGGCAGCAACUGGAUGAUCUCCGGGCUCUCAAGCAUGAGCUUGCCUUCAAGCUGCAGAGUUCAGACCUAGGAGUAAAACAGAAAAGUGAAUUAAACAGUCGCUUAGAAGAGAAGACUAAUCAGAUGGCUGCCACCAUUAAACAGCUGGAGCAAAGAUUGCGCCAGGCUGAGCGAGGCCGCCAAUCUGCCGAGUUGGACAACCGGCUCUUCAAACAGGAUUUCGGAGAGAAGAUCAACAGUCUACAGCUGGAAGUGGAGGCACUCACCAGGCAGCGGUGAACAGGGGCAGCUUGACCAGCAGGGUGGUGGUGGGUACUGCACAGGAGGGUGGCUCGGCAGCAAAGAGGAAGUCAGGUCUUGAGCUGCCUAGGCUUGAUCUUUCCAGUGUCCUUUGCAAACAGUGGGAACUCAGAAAGCGUCACAUGACUGGUUAGUUCCAAAAUCCAUUCAACAUUUUUUUUAUCAAAUAGUUUUGAACUGACUGCUGAACAUGGUGGCGCAGGCCUGAAAUCGCAGCCGAGACAAGAGUCCAAAGCCAAGUUGAGCUGCACAUAGUGACACUCUUGUCUUCAAAAACUAAAAUAAAAAGAGAAUUUGAGACCAAGUUCCCAAAUAUAUAGUAAUUGAUAUCUAAUCUGAUUUUAGUGAUAACAGCUAACAUCUUCUGAAUUUCUACAGUGUCUUGUAUAUGUUUCACAACACUUCUUAUUGCCCCUACUUUGAGAUGGAGCGACAGCUUAGAGGGAUUAGUGUGUCCCAGUUCACACUAGUAAGCUAGUAAGUGGUGGUUACAGUAUCCCUUUAAAAACCUGUUUCUCUGACUAAAUCCUAAGUACUCUCUCAUGCCAACUGUCAUGUUGGAUGCACUUUGGUGCUGAAGCCACUGACUGCAAAUGCGGGAGUCUGGUGGCUGAAGAACACAAAGCUACCAGGGGUGCUUUGGGGAUGGGUGUGUGGGAGCUAAGCAUAGACCUAUAGAGACCAGCCAGACAUCUCCCACUCAGCUGUCGUAUAAGUACAUUGGCAUCCAGAUAACUGCAGCUCUUCAUUAAGAAUUAGUGUGAAAUAAUUGACCUGCUAAACUGGGCACUCCUAACUGGCACUCUGAAUUCAGAGAGUGAACAUGUGAGCAUUCCUAGCUCUACUGUGUCUUGCUGUUCUCACAGCUCGGUUGUCCAUGUAUUCCUGGUAACUUUAUCAGGCAUUAAAACUUAAUUGCUGGACUUCAAGGGAAAACUCUGGUAUUCUUUAGACUAUAUGGAUAUAGAAAUCAGAAUUUUCAUCCUUUCUUCUCUCACCUGACCAGGACUCAGCUGGAGUUA